rnacentral:rRNA from 1 species
GUGGGGAAUCUUGCGCAAUGGGCGAAAGCCUGACGCAGCCAUGCCGCGUGAAUGAUGAAGGUCUUAGGAUUGUAAAAUUCUUUCACCGGGGACGAUAAUGACGGUACCCGGAGAAGAAGCUCCGGCUAACUUCGUGCCAGCAGCCGCGGUAAUACGAAGGGGGCUAGCGUUGCUCGGAAUUACUGGGCGUAAAGGGCGCGUAGGCGGACAGCUUAGUCAGAGGUGAAAGCCCAGGGCUCAACCUUGGAAUUACCUUUGAUACUGGCUGUCUUGAGUUUGGGAGAGGUGAGUGGAACUCCGAGUGUAGAGGUGAAAUUCGUAGAUAUUCGGAAGAACACCAGUGGCGAAGGCAACUCACUGGCCCAAUACUGACGCUGAGGCGCGAAAGCGUGGGGAGCAAACAGGAUUAGAUACCCGGGUAGUCC